rnacentral:rRNA from 1 species
AUUGAACGCUGGCGGCAUGCCUUACACAUGCCAGUCGAACGGUAACAGGUUAAGCUGACGAGUGGCGAACGGGUGAGUAAUGUAUCGGGACGUGCCCAGUCGUGGGGGAUAACUGCUCGAAAGAGCAGCUAAUACCGCAUACGACCUGAGGGUGAAAGCGGGGGAUCGCAAGACCUCGCGCGAUUGGAGCGGCCGAUAUCAGAUUAGGUAGUUGGUGAGGUAAAGGCUCACCAAGCCGACGAUCUGUAGCUGGUCUGAGAGGACGACCAGCCACACUGGGACUGAGACACGGCCCAGACUCCUACGGGAGGCAGCAGUGGGGAAUUUUGGACAAUGGGCGCAAGCCUGAUCCAGCCAUGCCGCGUGCGGGAAGAAGGCCUUCGGGUUGUAAACCGCUUUUGUCAGGGAAGAAAAGGUUCUGGCUAAUACCUGGGACUCAUGACGGUACCUGAAGAAUAAGCACCGGCUAACUACGUG